rnacentral:rRNA from 1 species
UACGUAGGGUGCAAGCGUUGUCCGGAAUUAUUGGGCGUAAAGAGCUCGUAGGUGGUUUGUCGCGUCGAAUGUGAAAACCCGGGGCUCAACCCCGGGCCUGCAUUCGAUACGGGCAGACUAGAGUUCGGUAGGGGAGUCUGGAAUUCCUGGUGUAGCGGUGAAAUGCGCAGAUAUCAGGAGGAACACCGGUGGCGAAGGCGGGACUCUGGGCCGAUACUGACGCUGAGGAGCGAAAGCGUGGGGAGCGAACAGG